rnacentral:rRNA from 1 species
UACGGGGGGGGCAAGCGUUGUUCGGAAUUACUGGGCGUAAAGGGCGCGUAGGCGGCCUUCUAAGUCGGACGUGAAAUCCCUCGGCUUAACCGAGGAACUGCGUCCGAUACUGAAAGGCUUGAAUCCGGGAGAGGGAUGUGGAAUUCCAGGUGUAGCGGUGAAAUGCGUAGAUAUCUGGAGGAACACCGGUGGCGAAGGCGGCAUCCUGGACCGGUAUUGACGCUGAGGCGCGAAAGCUAGGGGGAGCAAACGGAUUAAGAAACCCCA